CCAGACUCCUACGGGAGGCAGCAGUGGGGAAUUUUGCGCAAUGGGGGAAACCCUGACGCAGCAACGCCGCGUGCGGGACGAAGGCCCUCGGGCUGUAAACCGCUUUCAGCAGGGAAGACGUCGACGGUACCUGCAGAAGAAGCUCCGGCUAACUACGUUCCAGCAGCCGCGGUAAUACGUAGGGGGCGAGCGUUUUCCGGAUUCAUUGGGCGUAAAGAGCGCGUAGGCGGACGCCUAAGCGGAACCUUUAACCCCGGGGCUCAACCCCGGGCAGGGUUCCGGAAUGGGCGGCUAGAGUGCGGUAGAGGGGAGCGGAAUUCCCGGUGUAGCGGUGGAAUGCGC
rnacentral:rRNA from 1 species